ACGUAGGGAGCAAGCGUUAUCCGGAUUUACUGGGUGUAAAGGGCGCGCAGGCGGGCCGGUAAGUUGGAAGUGAAAUCUAGGGGCUUAACCCCUAAACUGCUUUCAAAACUGCUGGUCUUGAGUGAUGGAGAGGCAGGCGGAAUUCCGUGUGUAGCGGUGAAAUGCGUAGAUAUACGGAGGAACACCAGUGGCGAAGGCGGCCUGCUGGACAUUAACUGACGCUGAGGCGCGAAAGCGUGGGGAGCAAACAG
rnacentral:rRNA from 1 species